rnacentral:rRNA from 1 species
UACGGGGGGGGCAAGCGUUGUUCGGAAUUACUGGGCGUAAAGGGCUCGUAGGCGGCCAACUAAGUCCGACGUGAAAUCCCCAAGCUUAACUUGGGAACUGCGUCGGAUACUGGAUGGCUUGAAUUCGGGAGAGGGAUGCGGAAUUCCAGGUGUAGCGGUGAAAUGCGUAGAUAUCUGGAGGAACACCGGCGGCGAAGGCGGCAUCCUGGACCAACACUGACACUGAGGAGCGAAAGCCAGGGGAGCAAACGGG